UAAGAAAUGUGACCUGUACCGGCUG
rnacentral:piRNA from 1 species